UAACGUGGACCCGUAAUCCGGGUUGCGGACAGUGUCUGGUGGGUAGUUUGACUGGGGCGGUCUCCUCCUAAAGAGUAACGGAGGAGCACGAAGGUUGGCUAAUCCUGGUCGGACAUCAGGAGGUUAGUGCAAUGGCAUAAGCCAGCUUGACUGCGAGCGUGACGGCGCGAGCAGGUGCGAAAGCAGGUCAUAGUGAUCCGGUGGUUCUGAAUGGAAGGGCCAUCGCUCAACGGAUAAAAGGUACUCCGGGGAUAACAGGCUGAUACCGCCCAAGAGUUCAUAUCGACGGCGGUGUUUGGCACCUCGAUGUCGGCUCAUCACAUCCUGGGGCUGAAGUAGGUCCCAAGGGUAUGGCUGUUCGCCAUUUAAAGUGGUACGCGAGCUGGGUUUAGAACGUCGUGAGACAGUUCGGUCCCUAUCUGCCGUGGGAGCUGGAGAACUGAGGGGGGCUGCUCCUAGUACGAGAGGACCGGAGUGGACGCAUCACUGGUGUUCGGGUUGUCAUGCCAAUGGCACUGCCCGGUAGCUAAAUGCGGAAGAGAUAAGUGCUGAAAGCAUCUAAGCACGAAACUUGCCCCGAGAUGAGUUCUCCCUGAGACUUAGAGUCUCCUGAAGGAACGUUGAAGACGACGACGUUGAUAGGCCGGGUGUGUAAGCGCAGCGAUGCGUUGAGCUAACCGGUACUAAUGAACCGUGAGGCUUAACCUUACAACGCCGAAG
rnacentral:rRNA from 1 species